rnacentral:rRNA from 1 species
AACGAACGCUGGCGGCAUGCCUAACACAUGCAAGUCGAACGAAGGCUUCGGCCUUAGUGGCGCACGGGUGCGUAACGCGUGGGAAUCUGCCCUUUGGUUCGGAAUAACAGCUGGAAACGGCUGCUAAUACCGGAUGAUGACGAAAGUCCAAAGAUUUAUCGCCAGAGGAUGAGCCCGCGUUGGAUUAGGUAGUUGGUGGGGUAAAGGCCUACCAAGCCGACGAUCCAUAGCUGGUCUGAGAGGAUGAUCAGCCACACUGGGACUGAGACACGGCCCAGACUCCUACGGGAGGCAGCAGUGGGGAAUAUUGGACAAUGGGCGAAAGCCUGAUCCAGCAAUGCCGCGUGAGUGAUGAAGGCCCUAGGGUUGUAAAGCUCUUUUACCCGGGAAGAUAAUGACUGUACCGGGAGAAUAAGCCCCGGCUAACUCCGUGCCAGCCGCCGCAGUAAUAC